GAGACGCAGAAAUCGUGAACUGGUGGCUGCAACCACAUUCCCUUCCCGGGGCGGGGCUUCCUCCCUAAUUGCGCCCCCUUCCAUCACUUUGCUUGCUUUGUUUUGCUCUCCUCCCACCAGGAUGAAAGCUCCAAGAGGGCAGGGCUGUGCUUUUUGAAUCAACCUGACUGAAAUACAAUUUACAUCAAGUAAAAUACACCGGUUCUAUGGGUCUCAUUCAAUGAGUUUUGGCAAAUGUCAACCAACGUGGAUCAAGAGAACAUUCCAGUCACUCCUAAAAGUUCCCUCGUGCCCCUGUGCAGCCCGCCUCCCCUCCCCCAACUGCUGAGCUGCUCUCUGAAGAUCUCUGUUGGGGUCACUGCUGUGGCCCCAGCACCUGGAACAGCGCCUGGAACAUAAUACGUUUUGCUGACAGCAUGAGUAAAUGAAUGAAAGUAUCCCUUGCCUUGGCUUCGCCCCAACACUCAUCUGUGAAAUUCCCACUAUAUCCAAGUUUUCAGAGGCUUACACCUGGAGGGGCUCAGAGAGACCCCUCAGCCCAACCCACACAAUGCAGAAAACAGAUAUCCAACGUGUGCUGGGCACUCUCUUCUUCAAAGGACAGUCCCCGCCAUCUCUGAGCUGCUCUAUCAGAAAACUCCUCUUUGCAACUGAUACAAAAUCUCUUGCUCUUUCAAACCCACCUAUUGGGCUUGGUUCCACCUUAUGGAACCACACAGAGUAAAUUCAAUACUUUUUCAACAUUGCAGUUCUUGAAAUAUUAGGAGACAGCCCCAUACCACUUCCCCUUAGGUAUUCUCUGAGCUCAACUGUCUCAGGCCUCCUGAGUUCCUUGGGUUUUAAGACUUCUGGUCCUUCUGCCCUCCUGGAGGUCAUCCCGACACACACUCUCAUCUGCCGGGAUCUCUCUGAAAAAGUGUCAUUCCCAAAGGGCAGUGCAUGAUUCUGGGGAUGGCUUGACCAUGCACAGGGAGAGGUAUGGAGGUGGCCUGCCCUGGGGCUGGACCCACACCUGCAGCCACCUCACCCUGGGGAGUCUCCCUGAGCUUGCAGAGAAGUGCAAGUUUUGUUCACCUCUGCUGCUUCUCUGUCUAUAUUUGGAUGAUGACUGAUGAUGAAGAUUAAGUGUGGGCUCUACAUCCACUUCUCCUGACUUUCACUCUGUUCACUUGGGCAUCUUCCAGCCUAGCAAAAUCUUCCUGAAUCUUAACGUGUCAGAUCACGGGUCAUGAUACUACACAGCUGUAAGCUGUCCAUUAACUUGAUAAGUAGGUCUUCCUUUUCUUCCUCCAAGUCAUUGAUAAGUUCUACAACACUUGGCCAAUGGCAGAGCCCUAGGGCAUGCCCACAGAGACCAUCUCAAAGCUGACAAUCUUAUUUAAACUUUGCUGCAGUUUUGUUUACCAUGCAUGUCCUGAGGUGGUGACUCAACCUUAUUAUUAUCCAACACAUCUUUUCUCUGACUAGUAAAUUUUUUAAAAUAUCACUAAAAAAGUCUGAUCUUUUUGCAGGCCUCUAAAGCACAUGCAAAUUCUCAACUCUGCCCCUUUGCUAAUGCUCUUCUCUUCCACUGGACUACCUUCCUCCUUUUCUGUGUGAGCCCAGCUCAAGCACACCACCUCCAGGAAGGCUUCCCUGAUCACAGCACCUAAUGGAACCACAUCCCUCAUUAUGUUUUCUAUUCAAUCUUGUAUCCUAUUCAAUCUUACUUAUACUAAAUAAGAUCGCUCCCCAAAGAUCACAAAUGUAUAGCCCCUAGGGGCCUCUUCUACCGUCUCCUGUAGCCGGUGCCCAGUGACUCCUCUGCCUCCUUCUCUCAACCGCUUCCUUCCCUUCCCACCUCUAGGCACCAGAGGGGCUGCACACAGAGGCCAUCUGAGCCCUCUCCAGGCAGGCCCUCAGAAUGGUCUGGAAUACUCGCCAAGGCAGCAAGCUGCACCCUCUCCCCACCCCCGGCAGGCUGUCCCGGGUCAGGCUGGCUUCACUAGCGCAUGGGCUCCAUUCCGCCUUCAGCCCUCCUGCCAACCCCAACUCCUCACACUGUCCUCUGGCCUCCGACAAGCUCUAGUCCUGGAGCCCGAAUUCCACCUACAACGCAGCAACAAGCCCUCCGUGGGCCAGGGGAGGCUGUGAAUGGGAAGACAGGGACAGUCACUGCGGGAAGGCUGCCUGCAGCAGCGGGAUGACCGGCCGCAGCUCUAUGGAGCGCGUGCACACAUGCGCAUGCGCGCUCCACCCCGCGACUAGAAAUGCUCUUCACCUCCCGGUAAAAUGGAGAAUAGAUGUUCCAAUGGUCCAUCCCCGCGUCCUCUCAACCAAUAGGUUUCAAUAAGCUAACAUUUUAACUAGAUUCCAAAAAACAGGAAAGUCUCUUGCUGUGGCAGAAUAUUCUAUUUCUAUAUUAGCUUGUUUGCCCUUCUAUAUUUAUUGAAUUUUGCGGCAGGAUGCCGUGAGCUUCUGAGCUUUAUCUCUGAAAGCCAUGAGGGGCCACACUGCCUAACGUCUUCCCGAGGCACCACUGCUUCCCCCACACCCCAGUCCAGCAGGCCCCUCGUCUGCCUUCUCUGUGGGGACUUUCUCUUCUGGGAUUUGACUUUUACUCAUAAACCUGCUAAGGGACUUUCAUGAAGCUGAGGGAAUAAAAAGGAGAGAAGAAGUCAAGAUCUUCCAGUGAGGCCAGCUCCACAAAAAUAAAAGGAGUAGCUGGAGCAGGCAGAGAGGUGAGCGGACGUGGGGAUGAAAGGGGAAAGAAUAAGACCCACUUCACACCGAGAAGAAGGUACCUGGACCUGACAUAUGUGAAAAACAUCCUACAGAGCCCAGUGCCCCCCAAACAAGGAAUUAUCUGGCCCCAAAUGUCAACAGUGCCAAAGUUAAGAAACCCUGGUCUGGGCAUCUAAGAGAGGUUGACUGUGGAAUGAGGGGCUGUCUGGGGGUAUCCAGGGUCCAGGAUGAAAAACCGGCAAACGAGCUGUUGUGGGUCCCCGGGACCAGAGAUGAGAGCGAAGGAAGAAAGGAAAUGAGGGGGUGGAAAAGGCCAUCAGGAGGGCACAGCCACACACAGACCCCAUUUCACAAGCAAAGAAAGUGAAACUCUGAGAGGCGCAGUGACUUUUCCAAGGUCGUGCGGGCUUGGAACCCGAUUUCAAGGUCAACUGCAACCCUUGAGCAAGGAUGUAAUUCUGCUUUCACUGGGCAGUGCCUGGCCCCAAAUUUCCCUGCAGUGGUUACCAGCAGUAAAGGGCUGUAAGCGCUCAGGAUUUUACAAUAAAGCCUAUUCCCAAGCCCUACUCUGAUCUCAUUCCCAGCAGAAAAAUUGUGUCAUCAGGACGGGCUGUACAAAUUGGUGUCAUCAUCAGUUUCUGAACCAAGGGGGGGGGGGUGACAUGAAGCAUUCUCUUAGAUCAUGCAACAUCUGAAGAAGCCAUAACAACACAGACCACAACCGAAUUGCCCAAGAAGUCUGUCAGUUGGUGACAUUUGGGGUUCCUGAGGAUGGCAUCACUGCCUUCCUUUUCUGACUCAAUGUUCUUUCUCAGUCUUACACCUUGGGCUGCUUGGCUCGAACCAGUCUGACCCACUUCUGAGACACCUUUCAGCCUGCUGUAGAGAGCUGGACUGUUCACGCACGUCCCUAUUUGUGGAUGUGGACUCAGGCGUGUGCCUAAUGUUCUGAGAUGAAUAGGGGCUGAAAUCCCCAUGAAAGGUGUAAGCGUCUCGACAGGAUGAUUUGAAAAGCCACCAUGAGCGCUGAGGUACAAAGACACACGUUAGGAACAGCUUCUCGGCACAACGCUCGGGCUUCCAGCAACCACCUCUCUGAGGGGAAAACUCAGAUUGAUGAGUGACCCCAGCCUCUCUCAGCCUCUCGGGCCCUGCCCUCGCCCCGGCGGACUGUCCCCGCCCCCCCCCAUGGAGAACUGGGAGGGGCAGGGGGUGGCCCAGAGUCUUCUAGGAGCUAGCACUGGAGGAGAUUUCUCAGGGUGCUGGAGGUAAGGGAGGCUCAAGAACAUAGAUCCCCAUAACUGGGAUGCCCUCCCUGGAAGGAAGUGAGGAAUUAACAGCAGAGCUAUUAUUCGUGUGCUACCCUUCGGCCCAGAGGGGACAUUCCUGUUCUACCUCAGGAUUGGGAUGCAUUUCCAUUUUCCUGAGCCAGCCACCUGCUCCCCCACCUCCCCUUGUGACCAUUAACACUAGUAUGUAGCUAGGGACAGUAAAGAUAUGGGCUACAGCUUUGGGGUCUGUAUAUGGAUGGAGCCACUGUCCUGGCCUCCUGAACACUGUGUUUCUCAACAAGACGUGCCUUGAUGAAGUCAUCUGCCAGCGGUGGGUAAACCUGAACUAGUCUUCUGGCUCCACAGAGUCAGAGAAGGGAGUGUUCUCCCAUGGAGGGAUUGGGUUUCAGAUCAAUUAGUCCCAUUUCCCAAAAGAGCACCUGGCUAAUUGGUCAUGUGCCAUAGUGUAUGGACAGCAGAAGAAGCUAGGAACCCUACAGAAGGGCACCCCACCAUGGUUCUAAGCGGGAUUGGGCAGGAGUAAAUGUGGUACCACCCCUAACUUUCCAGGCAUCUGGCUCAUUUGGGUAUCAAAUCCAACAAUGACAGAUACUGAGAGAAACCCAUCUUCUUUGACACUGUAGUAUUUAUGUUACCUUCUGAGGUAGGCAGAAUAAGGGCCUCCCAAACAUGUCCCAAAGAUGUCUACAUCCAACCUCUGGAAUCUGUGACUAUGUUACCUUAUGUGGCAAAAAAGACCUUGCAGAUGUGAUUAAGAAUCUGAACGUUGGGAAGAUUAUCCUGGAUUAUGCAGGUGGACCCAAUGUAAUCACAAGGGUCCUUAAUGAAAGAAGAAGUCAAGAGUCAGAGGAGAUGUAACAACACAACAGUGUCAGAGUAAUGCAGUAUGAAAAAGACUUAACUAGCCAGUGCUGGCUUUGAAGAUGGAAGGGGACCACAAGCCAGGGAAUACAGAAGCCUGCAGAAGCCAGAAAAGGCAAGGAAAUGGAUUCUUCUCUGGAGCCUCUGGAAAGAAUGCAGCCCCCUUGACACCUUAAUUUAGCUUCAUGAGACCCAGUCCAGACACCUGACUUCCAAAAUUGGUGUGUGCCUGGAAGAGGUGCAGUGUCAACAUCCAUCUGAGAACAGGGAAGGCAGAAGGCAUGUGCUCUCUGGAACCUGCUGUGUGCCAGGCCUUACACCACCACACACAAACAGAUGGCACAAGCAGGCAGAGUGGCAGGCAGACGGAGAGGGAGAAGCAGGCUCUCCGCCGAGCAGGGAGCCGGACGUGGGGCUCGAUCCCAGGACCCUGGGAUCAUGACCUGAGCCAAAGGCAGCUGCUUAACCAACUGAGCCACCCAGGCGCCCGAGAAAUGAACAUUUUCACGCAACAUCAAACCAAUGUGGAUGGUGGAGAAAUGCUUGAAAUGUAUGGCCCCAGAAGCAAAUCUAUGAAAAUUCUCCAGAUCAUCACACAUGCAAAAUUGUAAGCAGGGGAUUGAGUUCUUGUGUUUGUCUAGUCAAAACAGCAUCCUCUCCUGCCAGGAAUGAAAUCAACAAUACAGCUUCUAUAAUUAUAAAUAUACCUUAAGGAGUGUUUACUUUGCUAGGUGGCAUAUUUUAUAAAGCUUGAUUAUAACAUUUUAAUUGUUUGGAAAUGUGUUCUGGAAUAUUUUCAAUAAA